GGAUUAGGCAUGCAAGUCGAACGAGGAUAUAUCCUUCGGGAUAUAAGCCGAGUGGCGCAAGGGUGAGUAAUGCAUAGAUUACCUGCCUCUAGGAUAAGGACAACUUUGUGAAAACGAAGCUAAUACUUAAUAAUACAAAAGAAAAUAAUUUUCUUUUGUCAAUGGGAGGGUAGCAAUACCUUUUGCCUAGAGAGGGGUUUAUGUCCUAUCAGCUUGUUGGUGGGGUAAUGGCCUACCAAGGCGAAGACGGGUAGCCGGUCUUAGAGGAUGGUCGGCCACACUGGGACUGAGACACUGCCCAGACUUCUACGGAAGGCUGCAGUCGAGAAUCUUUCGCAAUGCCCGAAAGGGUGACGAAGCGACGCCGCGUGAGUGAGGAAGGCCUUAGGGUUGUAAAGCUCUGUCAGGAGUUAAGAAAUAUAAGUGUGUUAAUACCACGUUUAUUUGACGAAGGCUCCAAAGGAAGCCACGGCUAACUCUGUGCCAGCAGCCGCGGUAAUACAGAGGUGGCAAGCGUUGUUCGGAAUUAUUGGGCGUAAAGAGCACGUAGGUGGGUUUGUAAGUCAGAUGUGAAAGCCUUCUGUUCAACGGAAGAAUUGCAUCUGAAACUGCAAGUCUUGAGUGUAGGAGGGGAGAAUGGAACUUCUGGUGGAGCGGUGAAAUGCGUAGAUAUCAGAAGGAACGCCGGCGGCGAAAGCGAUUCUCUGGCCUAUUACUGACACUCAGUGUGCGAAAGCUAGGGGAGCAAACGGGAUUAGAUACCCCGGUAGUCCUAGCCGUAAACGAUGGGCACUAAGUAGAGGGAAUUACCGAUGUUCUCUCUGCCGUAGCUAACGCAUUAAGUGCCCCGCCUGGGGAGUACGGCCGCAAGGCUAAAACUCAAAAGAAUUGACGGGGGCUCGCACAAGCGGUGGAGCAUGUGGCUUAAUUCGAUGCAACGCGAAAAACCUUACCGGGGCUUGACAUGGUAGAAGUAGGAACCCGAAAGGGUAACGAACGGUAUCCAGUCCAUAGCUAUCACAGGUGUUGCAUGGCUGUCGUCAGCUCGUGUCGUGAGACGUUGGGUUAAGUCCCCUAACGAGCGAAACCCUUGUUUUUAGUUACCAGCGGGUUAUGCCGGGUACUCUAGAAAGACUGCCGUCGUCAAGACGGAGGAAGGUGGGGAUGACGUCAAGUCAUCAUGGCCCUUAUGCCCCGGGCUGCACACGUGCUACAAUGGUCGGUACAAACGGAAGCGAAGCCGAGAGGUGAAGCGAAUCCUAAAAAGCCGAUCUCAGUUCGGAUUGGAGGCUGAAAUUCGCCUCCAUGAAGUUGGAAUCGCUAGUAAUCGCGGAUCAGCAAUGCCGCGGUGAAUAUGUU
rnacentral:rRNA from 1 species